GUUAAUUUCGUGCGAGCAGCCGAGGUAAUACGAAGGGUGCAAGCGUUAAUCGGAAUUACUGGGCGGAAAGCGCGCGUAGGUGGUUCAGCAAGUUGAAGGUGAAAUCCCCGGGCUCAACCUGGGAACUGCCUCCAAAACUACUGAGCUAGAGUACGGUAGAGGGUAGUGGAAUUUCCUGUGUAGCGGUGAAAUGCGUAGAUAUAGGAAGGAACACCAGUGGCGAAGGCGACUACCUGGACUGAUACUGACACUGAGGUGCGAAAGCGUGGGGAGCAAACAGGAUUAGAUACCCGAGUAGUC
rnacentral:rRNA from 1 species